GGGACACGUGGUAUCCUGUCUGAAUAUGGGGGGACCAUCCUCCAAGGCUAAAUACUCCUGACUGACCGAUAGUGAACCAGUACCGUGAGGGAAAGGCGAAAAGAACCCCGGCGAGGGGAGUGAAAAAGAACCUGAAACCGUGUACGUACAAGCAGUGGGAGCCUCUUUUAUGGGGUGACUGCGUACCUUUUGUAUAAUGGGUCAGCGACUUAUAUUCUGUAGCAAGGUUAACCGAAUAGGGGAGCCGAAGGGAAACCGAGUCUUAACUGGGCGUUAAGUUGCAGGGUAUAGACCCGAAACCCGGUGAUCUAGCCAUGGGCAGGUUGAAGGUUGGGUAACACUAACUGGAGGACCGAACCGACUAAUGUUGAAAAAUUAGCGGAUGACUUGUGGCUGGGGGUGAAAGGCCAAUCAAACCGGGAGAUAGCUGGUUCUCCCCGAAAGCUAUUUAGGUAGCGCCUCGUGAAUUCAUCUCCGGGGGUAGAGCACUGUUUCGGCAAGGGGGUCAUCCCGACUUACCAACCCGAUGCAAACUGCGAAUACCGGAGAAUGUUAUCACGGGAGACACACGG
rnacentral:rRNA from 1 species